CCUACGGGCGGCAGCAGUGGGGAAUAUUGGACAAUGGGGGGAACCCUGAUCCAGCGACGCCGCGUGAGUGAAGAAGUAUUUCGGUAUGUAAAGCUCUAUCAGCAGGGAAGAAAGAAAUGACGGUACCUGACUAAGAAGCCCCGGCUAACUACGUGCCAGCAGCCGCGGUAAUACGGAGGGGGCAAGCGUUAUCCGGAUGUACUGGGUGUAAAGGGAGCGUAGAGGGCGAUGCAAGUCUGAAGUGAAAGGCGGGGGCCCAACCACUGGACUGCUUUGGAAACUGUAUGGCUGGAGUGCAGGAGAGGUAAGUGGAAUUCCUAGUGUAGCGGUGAAAUGCGUAGAUAUUAGGAGGAACACCAGUGGCGAAGGCGGCUUACUGGACUGUAACUGACGUUGAGGCUCGAAAGCGUGGGGAGCAAACAGGAUUAGAUACCCGGGUAGUC
rnacentral:rRNA from 1 species